AACCUCUCCCUAAUUCCUACUUUUCCUCUGUGCUCUGUUAUGCCUUUGAGCCUUCCUCUCUCUCUGACUCCCUUUCUUUCUGUUCCCCUCUCUCUGGUACCCCUGUCUUUGUAGCCCUUCUUCUUUUCUUUUUUCUCUUCUAACCCUGGAUCAGUUUUUUCGGGGCAAAAAAAUAAAAAAUUUUUAGAACUUUAAAAUAAAAAUGAAAAAUCAGUUCUCACUACUGACGAAGGUUUUCCUAGUGAUGUUAUGCCAAAGAGAACAUCAUGCAUUUUAAAGUGAAAUUAGCCGUUUAAGUCAUAUUAGAGAACCAGAGUGAAACUAGACGGUCCCAAAGUCUCAUUUAGAAAGCUGUCCCCUCACCUUCCUCUAAUUAGAUGUUUCCUCACACGCAGUCAAUCGAGAGUGUUUUCUUUAGCUUUUAAUUGGCUUUGGAACUAUUACAGUGUUACUUUCUCUUUUUAAACUGCACAUUUAACCUCUCGCUCCUAUUUUAACUUCGAGGCAGCUUUCAUGGAGUACCCUGAACAUGGUGUUCUUUCUGUGGGAAAAUGUGUUCUGGGUUCCAGAUAACCCAUUUUCCUGUAGAUUUUUGAAUCUGGUGUUAAAUGAGAGAAGAGAGAUGAAAGACAUAUAGGACCCGGCCUGAGAUGUGAUUCCUCCAGAACAUUUGUGGAAUCUGAAUUCAUGUACAGGCUGCAGCUCCCACAUCAAACAAUACAUUUAAAAUUUCCACUGAUGUUAAGCAUCUCGAUAUUGUGGGUUUGAAAGUAAGUACCCUCUGAAAAACAGGAACUGUGCUUGUCUGUUACCAGUUUUUGUGGUCGAUAGGGCAACUAUUUUGAUUUUUUUCAGAAGGGAGGAAAAGCAGUUAAAUCCUGUUAAAAUGAAAACCGGUUAAAAUUAACUGGCUCGUGAGAUUUGAAUGCAGCUGUUGCACACAUCACAACACCGAGAGCGAGUUGUUUAUUACCACUAUUUAUUAUUGUUGGUUGUGACUACUAUUAAUAACCGUAGAUUAUGUCUAUUGGGGGUUUAACCUUGGAAAAUAGGAACUGCAAGGGGAGAGAGGUUCCUGUUUGCCAAUUUGCAUGUACCUUGUUUUUAUUUCUGCCGGGUAGGUGUGUGCACCUUCUGUCUGCGCAAGUGACUCAGCUUGUCAGCAGUUUCCUACCAGAAGUGAGUGCUGACUCAUGCAGCUGUUACAGCCCUCAGCUGGCCCCACUGUAUCUGCCCACAGCACCAGCGCCACCUUGGAGGGUACCUCGGCCAGUUAGCCGCCCGGGAGGCUAUUUUCAGAUCUGGGAUCACCACCGGGCUGGGUUCCCUUCUCCCCCCAGCAGCCAAACACCACCUUUGGUUGCAGGGUAGAAAAUUGGGCAUAUUUCUGCCUUUGCAGAGACGGCUUAAGAAUCACAGUAUUUCUGGGAAGCCCUCAAGAAAACCCAUUUUUCCUUCCUUUUAAAAAUUUUCUGGGACUCUUCCUGGGGAGAAGGGAAUGGGGAUGAGAAUAAGGGAAAGGAGCUCUGCUGUUAUUUCCUCCUCAGCACCAGAGGGAACUUUCCCGAACAUUUAACUUAGGCUUUCCUGAUGUGACCUGGACCUGACCUACUUCUCCUUGCAUGAGUGGGGCGCGUGUGCCCGGAGCAGGGCAGCGGGCACAGGGUGCUCAGCGGCCAGCCCCACAUUGUUGUGUGAGGUUCAGGUCCUUAAAUGAUGACACUUUUUGUUUCUAUCCGUUGCAUGUUAUUAAGGUGAAAAAACAAAACGGAACAAAACCCAAACCUGACCUCAGGUCCUUUUCAAGCUGGCAUGUGUUUUCAGAAAUGGUUUCGCUGUUUGUUUUUGGAGCUCAGUGUUGCUUAUGUUCCUCAGAAAGUGAAAAUGUUACUUUUUUGAGGUUUACAAAUAAACUUCCUCUUGUAGAUACAUGUUGAUCAGAUCAUCCUAAACUCUCUGGAGAAGGAUGAUUAGAGUGAGAUCGGCUGGGGAAAAGGACUCUUUGCACAGCCCUGAGGAGGUUGCCUCCUUUUUCUUCUUUUUCUUUUUCUUUCUUUCUUCUUCUUCUUCUUCUUCUUCUUCUUCUUCUUCUUUUUUUUUUUUUUUUUUAGCUUCAAUAAGCAUUCUGAAGCAGCUUUGACCAGUAAUAAAGAAAGAGCCAAGCCACAGUGACUGUGUGUAACAUGAUGUUGAUGGAAGUUCUUGGUUUCCGCCGAUACAAAUGACUCAUCAGUAUCAAUAGAAUUGUGACUUCUAAUAAUAACACAGUGCAAGACCUUCAAAACAUGUGGUUUUUUAGCCCUAGCUGUUAGUGAAAGGUUGGAAAAUAUUAGUUUGAGCUUUUUUUUUUCUGAUCUCUUGAUUUCACCCAAGUAUAAAGUUGUUUUUUGUAGGUGUGAUGAUCACACUCUUGUUUUCUCAUCUUACUGUUUUUAGUUUCGUUAUGACCAAAUCACCAAACUCAGAUCAUUUCAUGCUUUAGAAAUCUGUGCGCUAAGCAUCUCCUGUCGGGGCUGUGUUUUGAGGGAAAUGUGGCUGAAAAGCAAAUCCUCCUUGAACAGAGAAAGGGAAAAAUUGGGCUAGACUCUGGUCGGCCACGCCGCCUGCCUCCUACACAGCAUCUAUUGUGGGGGGCUGCGGUCCUGCUGACUAGCCUAUUGCCAUGUGAGUCAUUGUCAGAGGAUUCCAGGAGGAAGGGUGAUAGAAAAGACAAGUCAGAGGAAACAGCCCAAGUAGAGAAGGAACAGGAAAGAGGGUGCUGCCCCAUUUCCACGGCUGAGGGCCACCUGAGCAUCACAGGGAGUCUAGGUUAUAUCUGUGUUGCAGCCCAUCUAUUUGCAUCUCUUUGUGGGAGUGUUCUUGUUUUGUUGCUUCGUCUUGGUUUGUUUUGCCUGCAGUUUGGCCAGACCCUCAGCGAUCACUAUCUUAGUCCUGAACCACAAAGGUCUUACCCAAGAGCCUUUCCUUUUCGCCUUCUGUAGUGAAAGCAACUAAAUUUCUAGUCUGCAAGACCAGCACCUACAUGUACGUGUAUACAGUUCAUUUCUUUCUAGACACUUCAUCUUUGUUUUUUUUUUUUUAAUUUAUUUUUUGUCUUUUGUCUUUUUAGGGCCGCACCCGUGGCAUCUGGAGGUUCCCAUGCUAGGGAUCUAAUUGGAACUGUAGUUGCCAGCCUACACCACAGCCACAGCAUUGCCAGAUCUGAGCUGCAUCUGCGACCUACAUAGACCACAGCUCACAGCAACGCUGGAUCCUUAACCCGCUGAGCGAGGCCAGGGAGGGAACCUGCAACUUCAUGGUUCCUAGUUGGAUUUGUUUCCGCUGCGCCACGAUGGAAACUCCCUAAACACUUCAUCUUUAGAAAUGUUCCAUUGUGUGUUUCCUAGCUACCAGAGUUGGUGGCUCUAGUGCUUGCUGGCUAUGUGUUAGCCUUGAUUUGGGGAAGAAAUGCUUUAAAGGGAACCUUUUGGAUUUUGAGCACUUAUACCUUGCAGUUACUGUUUUUACUCAUGUGUCUUGGUACCCAGUAAAGGUUCCUUUCUGGGCCUUUUCUUCUUUCCCUCUCUUGGCAAGUCUUUGCAUUUCUUUCUCUGUGUGAACACUCCCCUCUUCUCAUUGGUUUCCAUAGAUUCUGUUUGCUCCCACCUGCUCCCCCACCCUUUCUCACACUGUACUUGGACAGACCUAUGUGGACUCCUGUGCACCGACACGGUUCCCCUCCCUGACCCUGGCUGCUUGCUCACAGAGCCCCGGGUGCUCCCUUUGACAUCCCUGCCAGCAGCUGGUUUCUGGGAGGACUGGACCAGGUGAGAAGGAAAUUGGAAGGGGAGCCUGAACUGGCUUCCUGCUGCCAUCUAAGAAUGCAUCCUGGGAAGGAGGCUGGAUUCUGAGGAACCAGGAAAAGGCCUAAGGGUGGCCCCAGCUUCAGAAGCCAGGCAGGAGACAAGCCCAGGGAAGUCACCCAAGGAGGAUAAGAGGUGCAGACAGCACUGCCACCAGCCCUGAGUUGGAGAAUCCUGAUGGAGUCAGAAAUGCAUCUAGGUAGGGGGGCUGAGGAGCAUUAGGGGGAGGAGGAGGCUCAGAACUUGGAGUGUGAAAGAGGAGGGGGACCUGCACAUUGCCUUCUGGCUGUUAAAGUAGUUCACACAGCCUUUUAGAUCCAGGGGGAUGGGUGGGAGAACUGGGGGGUCUCCCCUGUGGCCUUGGGCUCUUUCCCAUCCCCCACCAAGAGAGGGAUUCCCUGACCCUGUGGGGUGCGGGGCUCAUCCUCCGUCCCAGGUGCCCCAACCCCACUCCUCUCCUUCCUUUCUCUGGCUUCCCGUAUGCGUUCCUUGCAUAUGUCUCUCUCGCUAUGACAUCCGCUCCAGGGCCUUUGGUCAUUGUGGAAGUCUAAAAGCCCUGGAAAAGUGUCUGAGCCUAAAGGGCUGCUCAUUAAACACUCAUUCUCUUGCACAGGGAGAAGUGGGUCAGGUCAGGCUCUCACCAGGCAAGCCCAAGUUAAAUGUUCGGGAAAGCCAAAUUCCUUGGCACAGCCCUCCUUAUAACCUGUUCCCACCCUACCGUUUCAGGUAUAUAUUUUCACCAAUGUUUUCUUCUCACUAAACUUUGACUCACUAUCUCUCGAAUGAAUUUAUGUUUUUAUUCUGUGGAGUUUCCUAAUGGAUGAGUUAUGUAUGUUGACCCUGAAGUCCUUUGAAUUCGCCCUAAAAUUACUCCUUGCACAAAUCAAGAAUGACUUAGUGAGGGGCUUGCUCUUUGCAGGAGACUCUGUUGGGCUCAGGAUGUGGUUUGUGGAAUACAGUCCCCCUGUACAGCCUGAUCCCAGUCUGUGGGGAAGUUGGAGUUUCAUCUUGGAGAUGAUACGUAUAAGCAUGAAGUAUUUGAAGGACAGCACCCAGCAGUACGUGAUCAAGGGACAGGAUGAGUAGUAAAGGAAAGUAGGAGAAAGGAGUUGGGAGGAAAGAGAACUGGCAAAGAUUGAAGGACAGCAGAGCCUUCAAAAGGAGAAGUUGGAUUUGUUUAUAUCCUCAAAAUACUGUGGGAUUUGCUGAAAUGCUCCUUAAUUCCCUAGCUGGUACCUUUCAAGAUUUUAUAGAUGUCAGGUUCAUCAACUUUAUUGUUCCAUAUCUGUCAUUGUCAGUACACUGUCCCAUUCUUGACACUUCCCAAAUUAGACCUUCUUAAGACAUAAUUAAUGGAGGGCUAUAAAGGAUUCUAAGUGCAGACCUGGGAAAUCCUUCUAUAAUAGUACAAGAAGUUUAAAAUGUAUGAAGAGGCCUUUACUUUUAAUGGUUUGAAAAAAAAAUGGGACUAGAACUUAUGUUCAUUAAAACAUGAAGCGUAAGAAAACAAGCCCAAAGUGGUGGACGAUAUUUAUAGGACAAAUAUGGUACUGGUCCAGCAUAUGGGAAGAACACAUGAAUCGAUAAGAAAAGCUAUGGACAGCACAAUAGAAACAUGAUGCUGUACCUUCACAUAUGUAAGCAAGCACUUCACAAAAGAAACCCAAAUGGCUAGUUUAAUGAUCAAAUGUAUGCAAAGUAAAAUUGUAGUGACAUAGUAUACAUAAGUCUCUGGAUUGGCAGACAUUUAAAAAUCUGACAUAGCUGGUGUUGGUGAGGAUGUGGAUGAAUGGAAGUUCUUGUAUGGGGUGGGUAGGAGUAUAAUUUGAUACAAUUACACUGGAAAAUAGUUUAUUACUGAACAUAGUUCACCUUGCUACUAAUUUACAACCCCACAAUCUUACUCCUGGAUAUACCUUUAGGAAAAAAAAUCUUACUCAUGUGCUUCAAGAAACAGGGACAGGAAUGUAUAAAGAAACAUUGUUUGUGAGAGCAAACACUGGAAACAACCCAAAUACUCAUCAACAUUGUAUUGAAUCAACACAUUUUGCUGUAUUUACACACUGGAAUAACUAUUUGGCAGUGACGCAUGAGCUAAUAACAUCACCUAUGGGAGGGUGUGGAGAGGCCACCUGCUUGGUGGUUAAGAGCAAAGAUUCUGCUCGUGUUCAAAAUUAGGUUCUACCACUUAUUUUUGUGACCUUGGGCACGUUUCUUAACUUCACUGUCCAUCAGUUUUCCUCAUCUGUAUGUUGAGGAAGGUGUUUGUUAAGCAACCAAAAAUGCAUGCAUCAAUAUGGAUGAAUCCUAAAAUCACAAUGUUGAAUGAAAGAAACAAGACACAGAAGACUAGGUACACAAAUGACUCCAUUUAUGAAAAUUCGCAAGUAUGCAGAACUAAGUAUAUGGCUUGUUACCGAGACCAAGUUCCCAUCGCUCACUCUGCUCACUGCUUGACAGGCCAGAAAAUCAAGAGAUGACUUUUUGGGGCAAGGAAUAGCAACUUUAUUCAGAAAGCCCAUGGACCCAGAAGAUGGCAGACUAGUGUCCCAAAGUACCUUCAUACCCAAGUUAGAAUUCAGGCUUCUUUUGUACUAAAAUGGCUGAGAGCAAAGUCAAGCAUUUCCUGGUUCUGGUCAGCCUCUGGAGGGACUGUGUUAAUUUCUUCCUGCCUGCAGUCAUUCAUAGUUGGGCCUGGUGGGGAUGUUUCUUGUGAGCUAAACAAAGGUAUUUUAGUUUAACACUGAUAACCUGAGAGGCAGAGUUUCCAGAGUUGGGUCGUUAUGUAUAAUUUAAGCUGAUAGGCAACCUCCCUUUCAUGAACUUGUAGCAGAAGCAAUAGGAUACAAAGGUUAAAGUAAAAGAUCCCAUAUGGAGUCAGAUUUGUUCUUCCCUAUUAUAGUUUAGGGCUGUAUAUAUAAAUAUUAAAGCAAUACAGAAAAUUGAGAGAAUGAUUAUCACACACACACACACACACACACGAAAUCAGUAUACAAAAGACAAAAAAAACCAAAACAAUAGGAGUUCCCCUCGUGACUAGGAACCAUGAGAUCUCAGGCUCAAUCCCUGGCCUCGCUUAGUGGGGUCAAGGAUCUGGCGUUGCUGUGAGCUGUGGUGUAGGUUGCAGAUGUGGCUCGGAUCCCAUGUUGCUGUGGCUGUGGUGUAGGCCGGCGGCUACAGCUCCUAUUCGACCCCUAGCCUGGGAACUUCCUUAUGCCAAGGGUGUGGCC
ensembl:lncRNA